UACGUAGGGUCCGAGCGUUGUCCGGAAUUAUUGGGCGUAAAGAGCUCGUAGGCGGUCUGUCGCGUCGGCUGUGAAAACUCAGGGCUCAACCCUGAGCCUGCAGUCGAUACGGGCAGACUAGAGUUCGGUAGGGGAGACUGGAAUUCCUGGUGUAGCGGUGAAAUGCGUAGAGAUCAGGAAGAACACCGGUGGCGAAAGCGGCUCACUGGCCCGAUACUGACGCUGAGGUGCGAAAGCGUGGGGAGCAAACAGG
rnacentral:rRNA from 1 species